CCUACGGGAGGCAGCAGUAGGGAAUCUUUCACAAUGGGCGAAAGCCUGAUGGAGCAACGCCGCGUGCAGGAUGAAGGCCUUCGGGUUGUAAACUGCUUUUAUAAGCGAGAAAUAUGAUGGUAACUUAUGAAUAAGGAUCGGCUAACUACGUGCCAGCAGCCGCGGUCAUACGUAGGAUCCGAGCAUUAUCCGGAGUGACUGGGUGUAAAGAGUUGCGUAGGUGGCAUAAUAAGUAGCUAGUGAAAUCUGGUGGCUCAACCAUUCAGACUAUUAGCGAAACUGUUAAGCUCGAGACCGUUAGGGGUAACUGGAAUUUCUAGUGUAGGAGUGAAAUCCGUAGAUAUUAGAAGGAACACCAAUAGCGUAGGCAGGUUGCUGGGACGGUUCUGACACUAAGGCACGAAAGCGUAGGGAGCAAACGGGAUUAGAUACCCCAGUAGUC
rnacentral:rRNA from 1 species